UCUCUCUCUCUCUCUCUCAACCCUAAUUCUUUCAAAAUCAGGGUUACUGAAGACUAGGGUUUUUGGAUGUGAGAUUGUUCGGAUCCUUCAUGGCCGAUCUUCCCAGCGACGCCGCGACAGCAGCGAGGGCUUCUCCCUGACAGCUCUGAACAAUGGUAGUACGGAUGCGCCGAAGCUGACGGUGUCGGGAUCGUUCAAGGGGUCAAGGAGGCGAACAUCGGUCCGGCCCAGCCUCGACGCAGAUGAGUUCAUAAAUCUGCUGCACAGGUCGGAUCUGGUCAAGGUGGAGUUGAAUCAAUUGGAGAAUGAAGUCAGAGAUAAGGAUCGGGAGUUGGGGGAAGCGCAGGCGGAGAUCAAGGCAUCGAGGUUAUCAGAACGUUUGAGAGAGAAGGCGGUCGAAGAGGUUUGCCAUCUCGUGCACAAUAUGAAAGGCGGAUGUUGAUGCAGUAGUAGUUAAAAUAGUCAUGGCUGGAGCUGGGUGUGAAAAUGGUAUUAAAGUGGAACAAGUGCUUGUGUAUAGUUUGCAAACCAUGGCAUGUCUUUGUGGAAUUUUCAGUGAGUGGGAAUGAGCUAAGUGAGACAUCAUCCAAAAAAAGAAAGCUCUGCAUGGAUGAGCACAUCUCUCAUGGGAAGGCAGAGCUCUCGCCUUGAUCAAUGGAAGGGAUUGGAAGCUCUAAGGCAUUUGAGAGGAGAAACAAGAGAGCAAAAAUCUGGCACCAUGCCCGAGACUUUUAGACAACGGGAUUUUGAAAAUGCCAAAGAAUAUUUGCUGAUUCACUUUGUCUCUUUUGCAGUCACAGCACUAAAAGAUCUUUUCAGUUUCCUGAACUUUGUUUUUGGAUGAUCCAAUAGCCCCAAUCUUUAUUGGGUUUUCCAAUUGAAUGUAGACAAGUGCUCAUUUUUUAUACAAACUUUUGUUAAUCUUCCAUCUAUAUGUCAUGAAUGGGUUUCUAGUUGCCUUGACUCGUGGACUAUGGCCCAUGAUAUCAACAGUCUUGAUAACCAUAGACAUGAAUCACAUGUACAAUGGGGAUGUCGUAGUUAGCACUUCAUGAAACUCCAUGAAGCGUGCACAUUGCAGUAACAUCCCUCCAAAUCAUAAACAUCCAUUGGAGCAAAGCCACGCAUCCAGAAUAACUCAAUCAACUGUUUUGGUUUUCAAUACAUUUCUUUGCCCAAUUUUGUCAGUAUUAUAGCCGAAUUAUCUGAACUGAGAAGACUUGCUUGCUUAAUCAGGCUGCGUCUGAAUCUUGGGGUAUUUUUGUCCGCU